AUAUAACAAAGGUAUUCUUGCUCGGCUAACAGCCUACUUAUGGAGCCAGAACCUAGAUGCGGUGUGCAAGCUUAACUCGAAUUAAGAAGCCUGAAGCAUCUAAUAGGGCGACCACAUUGGAACCUAGAACCGCAGCAAGAAUACCUUUAUCUCUUUUGUGAUUCC
rnacentral:other from 1 species